GAGUUUGAUCAUGGCUCAGGACGAACGCUGGCGGCGUGCUUAAUACAUGCAAGUCGAGCGGGGUUAGAUUUUCAAUAUCCUUCGGGGUAGCGAUUUUCUAACCUAGCGGCGGACGGGUGAGUAACGCGUGGGCAACCUGCCCUAAAGCCUGGGAUAACAGCGGGAAACCGCUGCUAAUACCGGAUAUCUUUACGAAGAGGCAUCUUUUAGUAAAGAAAGGGAAUGAAUGCUUGCAUUCAUUUUACGCUUUAGGAUGGGCCCGCGUCCCAUUAGCUAGUUGGUGAGGUAACGGCUCACCAAGGCAACGAUGGGUAGCCGGCCUGAGAGGGUGGACGGUCACACUGGGACUGAGACACGGCCCAGACUCCUACGGGAGGCAGCAGUAGGGAAUCUUGCGCAAUGGAGGGAACUCUGACGCAGCGACGCCGCGUGAACGAUGAAGGUCUUCGGAUCGUAAAGUUCUGUCCUCAGGGAAGAAGGUCACUUAACGUGACUGACGGUACCU
rnacentral:rRNA from 1 species